AUUGAACGCUGGCGGCAGGCCUAACACAUGCAAGUCGAGCGGAUGAAGGGAGCUUGCUCCUGGAUUCAGCGGCGGACGGGUGAGUAAUGCCUAGGAAUCUGCCUGGUAGUGGGGGAUAACGUCCGGAAACGGGCGCUAAUACCGCAUACGUCCUGAGGGAGAAAGUGGUGGAUCUUCGGACCUCACGCUAUCAGAUGAGCCUAGGUCGGAUUAGCUAGUUGGUUGGGUAAAGGCCUACCAAGGCGACGAUCCGUAACUGGUCUGAGAGGAUGAUCAGUCACACUGGAACUGAGACACGGUCCAGACUCCUACGGGAGGCAGCAGUGGGGAAUAUUGGACAAUGGGCGAAAGCCUGAUCCAGCCAUGCCGCGUGUGUGAAGAAGGUCUUCGGAUUGUAAAGCACUUUAAGUUGGGAGGAAGGGCAGUAAGUUAAUACCUGGCUGUUUUGACGUUACCAACAGAAUAAGCACCGGCUAACUUCGUG
rnacentral:rRNA from 1 species